rnacentral:rRNA from 1 species
GACGAACGCUGGCGGCGUGCUUAACACAUGCAAGUCGAACGGAAAGGCCCUGCUUUUGUGGGGUGCUCGAGUGGCGAACGGGUGAGUAACACGUGAGUAACCUGCCCUUGACUUUGGGAUAACUUCAGGAAACUGGGGCUAAUACCGGAUAUGAGCUCCUGCUGCAUGUUGGGGGUUGGAAAGUUUCGGCGGUUGGGGAUGGACUCGCGGCUUAUCAGCUUGUUGGUGGGGUAGUGGCUUACCAAGGCUUUGACGGGUAGCCGGCCUGAGAGGGUGACCGGCCACAAUGGGACUGAGAUACGGCCCAGAAGCCUACGGGAGGCAGCAGGGGGGAAUAUUGCACAAUGGGCGGAAGCCUGAUGCAGCAACGCCGCGUGCGGGAUGACGGCCUUCGGGUUGUAAACCGCUUUCGCCUGUGACGAAGCGUGAGCGACGGUAAUGGGUAAAGAAGCACCGGCUAACUACGUG